rnacentral:lncRNA from 1 species
UUCAUCACAGUUAUUAUAUAUAAUCUUACAUUUCAAUCUGAUAACCCUUUACAUAACAGAUAACUCAAACUCGACAGUUUAUCAUUACAUAAUCAUUGUAACUUAUCAAGUACAUUUCUCAAAACAUUUAUCAUUACCUACCUUUAAACCAUGCUUAGCUUAUUAAUCACCUUAUCAGAGUUAAUAAAUAAAACUUACAUCCAGGUUCAAUACCCUUUCAUACAACAAACAAAACUUAAACUUCACAACUCAACACCUAUUAAACAUUAUACAUUGUUCGGAACCUUAAAUAAGGUUCAAAUAAUUAUAACUCAGCUUAAGUGUAUAAAUCUUCAAGUAUCACAUCUGAUUCAUAACUUUCAAGUAGCACAUAACUUUACCUUGAAUCUUUAACCUGCAAAAGUGGUUAUUUACAAGGUUGAGCUCGACAGUCCAGCAAAAUCUAACAGUUUUCAUGCAUCACGUAGCACAUAAUAACAUGCUCAACAUAUAUCUCAUAAACAUUGAACUAACAUAACAUACAUGAUGUAUUUCAUAUAACAAGUAUAAAGAUUGAGUUCCUUACUCAAUCAACAUUCAUUAUUCAAUCAACGUAGUCAUAAAUUGAUUUUAACGUUUCAUACUUUCAAUAUAUAUAGAACACAUCAUGCUCUUUGCAACAAAUAUUUAAAACAGUUCAUCAUCAAGUUCACAUAACAAAUAGGAACUGAAAGACUUGCAUUGAUCGUUGUUUACCAAUAACAGUUUAACAGCUUACAGUUAUCUGCACUUCAUGUACCCUACACAAUUAUAUAAUCAUACACAUCAACUAUUAGUCACAUAACAACACAUAGUAAUUGUAAUGUAAACUCUACUUCACAUCUCAUAAUCCUUCCUGUUAAUUAACAGACAAUGUUCAAUUAGAUUGUGUUAACUUUUCGACUUAUGUAAUAUUCGAAAUUCAUUCAAGUGUUUAAGUCUUGCUAGGAAUACUUAUGGGUUUUAUAUUAAACCCAUUUCAUAUCUUAUAAUAUUCAUUUCAUUUGACUUAAAAUACUUUUUACGUUCAUUAACACUUAUCACGACGUUUCGACAUUUAUUCGUCACACGCCCGAUUUAUCUCUCUUGUAUAUGCUUACUAUGCUUGUAUAACUUAUCUAAUACAUUAUUUAUUAAUGUUAAGUAUCAUUAUGUUUACUAACAUUCAUGUUUUAUAACUUAAAACAACAUCUUUUAUCGUCAAGAGCAUUACACUUGCAUACGUGCAUGCCCGACGCCCUCCGAUUGCCUCUAAAAACACAAUAGUCCUAAAGAUGACCAUUUUAACCUCUGUUACUGACCUCAAAUUCAAACACUUAAAGAAUAAAAGUUAUAGGUAUAUUCGUCCUCGUUUCGGAUCAUCUUGAAUCACCUCAUUCGGAGUUCGUAUGAAAACGUUAUGCUUGUUUUAGUAAAACAUGUCCGGUCAGUUGUUUUUUUUUUCAAAAUUUUGCAAAACAAACCAGAGCGGGGAUUUUUACACUAGGGUAGCCUGCCAGGACGGGGGUCCCUUCUGCUAGUUCGCGAAUUAUAAUCCCGAACACUACAGAAAGCCAAAUUAGGCUUACAAACUCCUUUCUAACAACCAUAUUAACCUACCCAAGGUGUAAUAUGUUUACAGAAACAUAAACUAAUAUUUCUAACACGUUUCUAACCACAUAAACAUCAAGAUUACAACCUUUAAUUUCACUAUUUCUAUUAUUUCUUCUUCUUUUGACAUUCAUAGCGAAAUUCUUCACUGUGAAUUCGUUUUACAUCCGUUUUGACUCGUUCAACUUGGGUUGUUUUCGUUUUUCAACAUACUAACAAUAUCUAUCAUCAAUUUCAGAUUAUAUCCAUCAAUUUUGACUCCAACAUAAGUUAAAAUAUACAUAUGCCAUCAAAACCCAAGUUUUUCAUCUUUAACAUAUUCUUAUGAUUUUGAUUACUCUAGAACCAAUUAAAGAGACUAUAUAUACCAGAUUAUACACCCAUACACAUAUAUAUACAACAUCUCUUCAAAUCACCCAACCAAAAUAGCUUUUUAAGUAAGGAAAUUGAGAAACUAUAAAUUAGAAUUUUAGAACUAGAUGAAUAUCUUUCAUUCUUCUUAAACUUGAUUAGAUGAUGAGAAACCUUGUUCUUCUUCCUUGAUUCCUCCAAGCUUCUUCUCAAAGCUCUCUAACCCUCUUCUCCAACACUCUAUUUUCUUUAUUCUUAGGCUUUAGGAACAAAACACGUACAUCCAUAUAACUGAUAUAAACAUAAUGCGUAUGCAUUAUGGCCUCAUCAGUUACAAUAACAAAGGGUCAUUAUGCCAUGUUUGGCUAGCACUCAAAAUCACUUUUUUUUUCCAAUUUUUUUUUAGCAAUCAUUCUUAUCAUAUGAUACCCUUGUCACACCCAUUAACUAUUUGAAUUGAAUUAAUCUCAAUUCAUUAAUAAAUCUAAUUAAACCUUACUAAUAAAAUUAUAACUUCUAUUUAGACAAUAUAAUUAUAAUUUUAUUUAACAAUCAUUAAUCCUCUAAUUUAAUUACUUAAUUAAAUUAGAAAAUCACCACCACAUUAACGUAAUAAUUAUGCACAAACUAUAAAAUUAUUUAUCAUCAAUUUAUUUAAUAUCAUCAUACUUAAAUAAAUUAUUCCAUAAUAAUUUUCAUUGAAUAUUUAUUUAGUCCAUAAAUAUUUCAAUUAAAAUACUUAUUUUACUUAAUAAAUAUUUUAAUUAUUUGCGAUCUCACAAUCGUAACAUAUUAACAUAUUACAUUUAUAUGUAACAUACAUUACUCUCUCAUAUCAUAAUAAGAAUUUUAUUUAUUGAAUUCUUAUUUUAAUAAUUUUCAAAAAUUCGGGUUGUCACAUGCUUCAUUGCUUACCUCAACAAUUUCAGAUGCCAUUCUCAAACACUGUCAUAAAACAAGGGUUAAUUGACAUGCCAUAUAUUAUCCCUAUACUCUCACCGACCAAUUAAAUAAAAAAUAACUUAGGUAGGUCAUACUAGCGAAUGAUUAGCCCGUCUCUCCCCUCCUAGUUCAAGUUUCACAUCUCAGCUAGGGAUCAUAUCCCUAAGCUUUGAUACCAACUGUAACGUCCCCAAAGUAGGUAUACAUCACCCAUUCUGAGUCGCCAAAUACAUGGUACAGAAUACAACUACAACUUGAUUAUACAACUGUCGUGUAAUAUACGACAAAAAAUAGAUGAGACUUUAACACGAAUAUUGUCUUCUAAACAAUAUACAAACUCAAAUUCAAUAUCAUUACAAUUAUUAUUCACAGAAUAGUGAGGACAGCUAAAAUAAUCAUCUGGACUAUCAAUCCAUUCCCCGACUAGUCCCAGCUAUAUUCUCAUUUCCUUAAGAGAACAGUGAAAGAAAAGGGUGAGCUCAACUAACCAGUAAGAAAUAUUAUGACUAAGAUAAUGCAGAAUAAAUUAUCUUUAGCCUUCAACAGUAUAACAACUAAUAGAAUACAAUAGACAACAAGUUUUAGAUCAACAACUGCAGCGGAAUAAGCAAUCCAUUAGAAGAGUCAAGUUACCAUAAAUUUUAUUGCUGAAGCUCAGCUUAAUAAAUAAUCCAUAUCACUGAAUUAUCCAUGCACUAUGGGCCAAGGAUAUUGGUGUUUUCACCAAUGGUCAUGAUCAUACCAAACAACAAUUCAUCUUUGCACCCUUGGCCAAAGAGAACGCAUGGUUAUGAUCAUACCAACAUCUUUCCAUCAAUGCACUAUGGGCCAAUGACAACUUUUAUCACAUUAUUUGUAACAUUACGGUCAUGUGUAUACCAAAUAAUCUUUGGUCAUAAUCAUAUCAAUCAACAGUCCAUCUAUACACGUAAGUCACAGAUGACUUUCAUCACAAUAUAAGCAUGAGGAUGAUGACAAUGAUAUAAGAAUUCAAUUAAAUGAAAACAAGGAUAAAUUUUAAGGAUUUAUAAUUUAAUUUAUUCAGAAUAAUAUCCAAAUUGUCAACAUGAUACUGCUUUGUGGAGUAAAAUUCAAGAAUAAUAUUGUAUCAAAUAUGAUUUGGAUCGGAAAAAAAUCAAUUUUUGUCAUGGAUAGUACUUCGGGUGAAUAGUACCCGGGUGAAUAGUACCCCAUGAAUAGUACUUCGAGAAUAGUACUUUAUGAACAGUAAUUCGUGAAUAGUAAUUUGUGAAUAGUAUUCCGUGAAUAGUACCAUAUUUAUGAAUAGUGCCCAUGAAUAGUACCAUACGUAUGAAUAGUGUUGUAUAAAUGAAUAAUACCCAUGAAUAGUACUCUGGCAUGAAAAGCUUAAAAUUUAAUAAGAAAGUUCAGAAAAAUAUCCUUAUGAAACGAUACUAGAUGAAGCGAAAAUUUCAAGGAUAUUCUACUAAUUUCACGGAGUAUAGAAGCAAUACUUUAACAAAAUGAGUGUAGAAUUUAGAAUCUGAAACGAAAUAAUAUUACUUACACACUAUAGAGUAUGUAAGAAAAUAUUAUUUUAUACGGAUAUUGAACAAAAAUAAUAUCCCUUACGAAUACGAAAGAAAUAAUACCCCUUACCUUAGUAGAAGGCUAAAUACUACAAUAGUAAAGAGCAGAAUACUCUUCUUCUUUCCCUCUAUAGCUUCUCUCUCUAUAGCUUCUCUUUCUAUAAUUGCUCUUGUGAGUCUUAGUAAAUUGGUGAGAAUGAAAAAAGAAUAAGCUUCUAUUUAUAGGAAAAUAUAGUUUCGAUAAUUGCACGUUUUGGGGCUCGAAAUAUUACAGUAUAAUACUUUCAUCUUUUCCUUCAUUUUUAAUUUAGUAAUAUAAGUAUUAUCAAACUUGCACCACCUCCCCUAAUAGUACAUUCAUUUGAAUCAAUAGUACAUUCAUGUGAAUCAAUAGUUUUAUACAUGUGAACUAAUAGCAAUUAAUUGCUUAUUUAUCCGAUUAAUUAUCCGAUUGGUCAAUUUAACCUCCAAAAAUCAAUUAUUAUCGAAAUAAAUGUCAAUUUCCACUAACACUAAUAAUCCCAACACAAUGAAAAUAUCAAUUUCAUCUUUAAUCAACACAAACUUAUUCAUCAUUAAUAUUAAAACUCACAGUAUUUAACAACCAGAUCAUUCCCACGAAAGAGGGGGCUUUCCGAUAAGGAUUUCUCCCUAUUGGCGCGCAAUUAGGUGACCAAACCCCUUUCCUCGACAGAACUUUCUAGACAUCGUCAAUAUUGCAAAUAAUAAUAUGAAUAACUUUGUUGUCUCAAUUAUUUAUUUAAAAAUAUAAAAUAUUAUGUAGAUGAUACUGUGACAAUAACUGAAUCAAUAAUAUGAGAUAUAUUAUGCAGUAAUAAUUGAGUAUAACUGAGUGACUUCUCACAUAAGCAUCAAUAAUCAAAGAUAUUGUACAAUACCGUGUGCUACUAUACAACCACGCGUAUUACUGUACUUUUACCACCGGGUAUUUCAACAGUUAACGAUAAAAAUUUCGUCGUUAAUUUUAUAAAAAGAUAUUUCUGUCGUUUUCCAACUCCAACAAUACUUCCGUUGUGGGGUCCACCAAUGAUUGUGCCGUCGUACGAAUAUUCCCUGUGAAAAUGAAUAUUUCCCGACCAAUCGAAUAUUUUAUAACAACUUUCUUACUUUGCAAAAUUUGUAAAUAUUACCCACAACUAUAAUAUUAUAUCAAAUUUACACCAUAAUAUUCAAAAAUAUAUUUCGAGAAAAAUUAAUCUUUAUUCAUAAAAGUUAGGGUCUUACAUCUUAUGCUCCCAAACUAGGCCAUUAUUCACAGUUUUGUGUUACUAGUUUUGGACAAUUCUUGCCAAUUUUAUUUCUGGCCACUUUGGUUCAUUCCAAAACUUUAAUAAUACCUGUUUAGAACUAUUUAUAGCAUUCCUUUAGGUUUGUUAAGCAUAGAUUAGGUUUUGACCCUCUAAACCUAAAUUUUUUAAGCUUUUAUAUACUAACUUCUCAAGUUCUUAUAUAUAUUAGUAUUUCCAAAUUUGAAAUAGCCUAGACUAACUCUAUUUUACUUGUCUAAGGUGUUAAAAUUGAGUUUUAAGUCAAUUGGCAAAAUCUCAAAUUGUAUACUAAGAAAAUUUAAACUACAGUUAGAAUGAUUUCCUAGCCUAAUUUGGUGAUUUAUUUGAAUUUUUGGGUUAAAAUCUUGGCUCAACCAUUUGGCCCUGCUUUUAGACCAUACAUUAAGGUAUUUUAAUCAAGUUUUAGGUUUUUUGUUCAUGCCCAUUAAGCUUCCCAAAAAUAGAGCUCAAACUAGGCAGUUUUUGUACUUUGUUUACAAAAUUAUUUUUGAACUUUUUCCAAAUUUUUCUAGUUUUGGCCACUAGGAUAUUCUAGGCAUGUGUAUUUAAGUUACUUAAGGAUACUUUUAGCAUCACCACACUUGAUUUAAUCAUCUAGCCAAUUUUGACCUAUCAAAGCUCACUUUAGGUUUGAAAAAUGGAUCCUAACUUGGUUUUCUUGCUAGCUUUGGUCUUGGAACUGAUUGGAAACCAUUAUAAGCAUACAUUAGCAACUUGAUAUGACUUCAUUACAGUCCCUUAAGUUCAGGUGCUAACAAUCACCCAAAAUAGUCCACUAUUUGGCUUAAAAUGUGAUUUUUAACAAGUCUAAUGCUCAAAAUAGUUUACACUUGGUUUCUUUAGCAUGUGUAGCUUACUUAUGUCAUAUUUUAGCUAUUGGAACUUGUCUAUAUGGUCCAAGUAUGGUGGUUCUUUAUUUUGGUGUUCAUUGCUAUUUAAAGCUUACUUUCAUUGGUUUUUAAGCAUGAAUUUGCACAACACACCUUAUAUACCUUAACUAACUUAAGGAACAACUUUUAAAUGAUAUAUGUAGAUAAUGUAAGUACACUUUACUAAUUUAUAACAUGAGUAGCUAAAAUAUACCAUAACAGUUCAUAUUUCUAGGAUUUAAACACUGUUUUGGCAAAAAAAAAAUCACAAACAGUCCCAAGCUAUGCUUCUUUAGAUAUCUAAGCAUUCUUGCAAGCUCCUAACCAUCAUUUUAACUCAUUUUUAUGGAAUUUAGCAUAUUUGCAUAAGUAGUUAAACCAUUAGCACAAAACAGUCCAGUUCUAGACAUUUUAGGUAUGAAAUUUACAUAACAAUUCAUAAUAGUCCUUAUGUAGGUAAAAGGGAACUUUAAGCAUUCAAGUAAUCCUUAAAACAUGCUUAUAACAUAAAAUUAUUUCUUUAUUCAUAAUUGCAAAGGUCAGUCAUCUUUUGAAUACCCAAAACAGUCCAUAUAGAGCACUUUAGGAAUGAUUUAGUACCAUUACACCAAAACAAUACCAAGCAUUGAAUUUCAUGCAUUAUCACAACAAGUACUUGCUAUAUACUAUAUUUUUCAUGGUUAAAAACAUAUGGAUGCAAUACCUUAAGAUUUUGUUCAAAACAGCCUUUAGUAGGCUUUAUACUUUCAUGAAAACAUGGGUUGACAACCUAGUCAACAAUAUAGCAUGAUUAUGUGACAUACAAACAUGAACCAGCUGUUUACAUAACAUUUUACAUGUAUAUCUUUGAUUCGAAUGGUUUAAAACAGUAUACACAUAAUUAUCCACAACAGUCCUUUUUCUAAGCUUCUUAAUUUCAUAAAUAGUAUACCAAAUACUCCUAAAAUAGGGGUCGAGUUUGGCCUAUUCAAAACAGGCCCAUACUUGCCCUAUUUAAGGUUAUUUUCAAGUUUCAAUUACCCCUUAAGCUCUAACCUUUUAUCAUUCAUGGUUAAGUACAUUUAGACACCAUACCUAGCAUAAAAAUAGCCUUUAAAAUAUGACAAAUUAAUCAUAACUAGCUCCUAAUAAACAGUAAAAAUUUACUUUUAUUUUGUUCAUUAACAUAGCUAUCAUGGUGUGUAAGUGGUUUUAAAAACAUGGUAUACUUAAGUGUAGAGCACACUUGAAGUAUGGAUACAUUCCAUUUUAGCAAAUAAACAUGUUCUUGGACUCUAUUACACAGUAAAAAUGCUCAACACAUUUCAGUACUCAUUUAGUCACUUUAUCAAAUAGAUGAUGGGCAGUCCACAUACUGACAUAUAGUACAUAUGCUUCUAGCUCUUUUACCCAAGCCUUAUGGCUUUAAAACAACAAUGAUUCUCUUAUUAGUCAAGCAUAACGACAAUCAUAGCAAACACAACCAUCUUGUUCAUAAUAGUCAUUACAGAAAACCCACAAUCAGUACUAACAGUUACUAAUAUGGUCACAAAGCAAUUCACUAUCAAAUUCUAUAUACCAGCCUCUAUUAAGCCACCUGACCAUUAGUCAGCUUAUGCAAUGAUCACAACAACAAUUAGACCUUAUAAUAAUUAUACAACAUUCAAAAAUCCAAGAUAGCAGUCCUUGUAAUAGUGAAACAACCCUUUAUGACCAUUCCAGGCCAUUCGGCCAAAACAACCCAUUUUGCUAUUAACAAUGAAAUGGAAAAAGAAUGGAAGGAGUUUAAAUGGGCUUACCUUGCUAGGGUUUUCUAAAAAUUUAGGUAGUUUGGUAGUUUAAUUUUCCUUCCUUUCCAGCCGAAAGCGCUGUAGCAAAAUAGAACCCAAAAUUUUCCUUGAAUGACUGGCUUGGAUAAGGGUGAGGGGGUGCCUUUAAUGGCUGAGCUAUCUCCUUUUUCUGGCAGUCUUAUUUGCCUCUAGUUGGCCUCUACGCAGCCACCCUAUCAAGCUUUCAACAAUAAUUUCUAGUCUAGUCUACCCAGCCCCUAUUAGAAGUGUCAUACCUCCGCCCCAUAGUUGCCCUUUCCCUGGCUUGGAGGCAAGAUAUUAACUAUUAAG